rnacentral:rRNA from 1 species
AUUGAACGCUGGCGGCAUGCUUUACACAUGCCAGUCGAACGGCAGCGCGGGCUUCGGCCUGGCGGCGAGUGGCGAACGGGUGAGUAAUGCAUCGGAACGUGCCCAGUAGUGGGGGAUAGCCCGGCGAAAGCCGGAUUAAUACCGCAUACGACCUGAGGGUGAAAGCGGGGGACCGAAAGGCCUCGCGCUAUUGGAGCGGCCGAUGUCGGAUUAGCUAGUUGGUGGGGUAAAGGCUUACCAAGGCGACGAUCCGUAGCUGGUCUGAGAGGACGACCAGCCACACUGGGACUGAGACACGGCCCAGACUCCUACGGGAGGCAGCAGUGGGGAAUUUUGGACAAUGGGGGCAACCCUGAUCCAGCCAUGCCGCGUGCGAGAAGAAGGCCUUCGGGUUGUAAACCGCUUUUGUUCGGGAAGAAAUCCUCUGGGCUAAUACCCCGGGGGGAUGACGGUACCGGAAGAAUAAGCACCGGCUAACUACGUG